rnacentral:rRNA from 1 species
GAUGAACGCUAGCGGAAGGCUUAAUACAUGCAAGUCGAACGGCAGCACGGGGCAACCUGGUGGCGAGUGGCGAACGGGUGAGUAAUGCAUCGGAACGUGCCAUUGAGUGGGGGAUAACGUAGCGAAAGUUGCGCUAAUACCGCAUAUUCUGUGAGCAGGAAAGCAGGGGACCGCAAGGCCUUGCGCUCUUUGAGCGGCCGAUGUCAGAUUAGCUAGUUGGUGAGGUAACGGCUUACCAAGGCGACGAUCUGUAGCGGGUCUGAGAGGAUGAUCCGCCACACUGGAACUGAGACACGGUCCAGACUCCUACGGGAGGCAGCAGUGGGGAAUUUUGGACAAUGGGCGCAAGCCUGAUCCAGCCAUGCCGCGUGAGUGAAGAAGGCCU